rnacentral:tRNA from 1 species
GAGGGUGUAACUCAGAGGUAGUGUGCGUGCUUACCGUGCACAAGGUCCUGGGUUCAAUCCCCAGUCCCUCCA